rnacentral:rRNA from 1 species
GACGAACGCUGGCGGCGUGCCUAACACAUGCAAGUCGAACGAGGUCCCUCCUUCGGGAGAAGACCUAGUGGCGAACGGGUGAGUAACACGUGAGGAACCUGCCCCGAAGACCGGGAUAACCCUCCGAAAGGAGAGCUAAUACCGGAUACCCCCACCGAACCGCAUGGUUUGGUGAGGAAAUGGAUUCCGCUUCGGGAGGGCCUCGCGGCCUAUCAGCUAGUUGGUGGGGUAACGGCCCACCAAGGCAUCGACGGGUAGCUGGUCUGAGAGGACGAUCAGCCACACUGGGACUGAGACACGGCCCAGACUCCUACGGGAGGCUG